rnacentral:snRNA from 1 species
AUACCUUUCUCGGCCUUUUGGCUAAGAUCAAGUGUAGUAUCUGUUCUUAUCAGUUUAAUAUCUGAUACGUGGACCAUCGGUCCACAUAAUAUUAAAUUAAUUUUUUCUUGGGGAAGGGCCCAUAACAGUUCUUGCUAUUGGGGUCUUCAAGCGUCGCUCAUGCGUUGCACUACUGCAUGACAUGAUCUCCAACGG